UAUUUAAAAGAGGCCCUAUAUUGCAAAAUUUGAGUAAUUUAUUCUUGUACUUCUGAGAUUGUUAUGCAGGUUGUUCAACAAAUCAUAAAUCUAUGUUCUUUUCCUUUUUUCAUUUCCUUUUUAUAUCAUAUUGAUUUAUGACCUCUACUUUAGAAUUAAAUGACAAAAGUUAUUAUGUUUGGUGAACUAGGCAAUUUAUAAUCGCUUUUCUGUGGUAAAAGCUUCUUGCCCCUUUUAAAUUGGGCGUGUUAUCUGUUCCAUUGUUAAUUGCUCGAGCAUUCUGCAUUCCCCAAGCUUAGCUUCUUGAUGGCACCUUAUGCCUCUACCUACCUCAUGUCAAGAAACUUCAGGUUUACCUCAUGUCAAGAAACUUCAGAUAAAGUUGGAAUUGAUUGGUUUAAGUACCAUGUCCAAGUCAUUGGGUUAAUCUUGGUCUUCCGCUUAUGUUGGCCUUCCGAUUGUCCCAUUAGUCCAAGUUCUUAGCCAUAUAUGUGAUGAUGUUCUCAGAUGAUUGAUUAAGGUUGUCAUUUGGAAAGAAAACAUGAAAGUUCUCUUUUCUAGUUUUUUGGAGGUUACAGCUUGAAGGUAACACAUUUGUCUUGGGUGAAUUUCUGGAAUUUCAAGGGGAUCAGGAACAUACUUCAGUUUUGAGUUGUAUUGAAAGAUUGGACGUUAGUUGCUUGUUCAUCCUAGUGCUGAGUAUGUUUGGAUCUUCUAUUCUCUCUAGCAUGUAUGGCAUUCUUUUUUUUUCUGAUUGCUUUGUUCGACUACUAAAAUGUAAGCUUGUAGGUGGUUAGGUAUUGGGAGUUUGGGCAUUUAAUCCAUAAGAGUAUAUAUUCUUAUAAAUUAUGAGCUUGUAUGUUUAACUAUUUGGCCAUAUUUUGGCUGCCCUUGAGCUUGAGUAAGUAUAAUCUUUGUAUGCUAUUACUUUUAUGUAAAACAGAAGUUCUUAACCGAAUUUCUGUGUAGAGUUUUUAUUGUAUUUUGUAUGAUGUCAUUACCAUCAUAGGGGUCUUUAAUUGG
rnacentral:lncRNA from 1 species